AUUGGACACACCUGAUCUUAAUUUGGCACUGGACUAUUUAAGCAGGGCACAGGAAGUGUUUCCUUGCUGGUGUGUUACUUCCUGUGUGCCUCCAAGUCGCCGAGCCAGCCGCCGCGUAUCUGCAGAUCCAUUGUCAACUUAUCCCUCCAAACCUCCGUCUUUUCAUGUCCUCUCCAGAGGUUGGGAGUUUUCCUUCUGUGGACUAAAAGCAUUCCCGGAAGUCCAGUGACCCUUGUUGUCAUGACGACGGAGGCGAUGAAGAGGAUGAAGAGGAGGAUGAAGAUGCGAGUGAGAAUCCGUCUCUUCGCCAGUUCUUGCCCAGGCUGCAGGAGAUGCAGCCCAGCUUGAAGCCCUGAUUGGCCACCGCCUCCGUGUCCGAGUCCACCUCCACGCAGGCGCCGCCGCACACCAUCACUGAGCGAGACGACCAGACGGACACGCUGUGAGAUGGACGCACGCCUUGCACACGUGACCUUGAGCUUGUGUUAUGACCCCUAGGUCAUUGCAGGCAGACUCAAAUACUACAAGGUGUACUCACAUACUACCAAGUGUACUGGUUUUUUUUGCGUGCUUCUUGUCACCAGUUCACUUCUUCAAACUCAACUGCGUCUCCUUCUGAGCGUCCUGGAGGAUCAGAGCCGGCUAGGCAGGUGUUGAAGGUCAAUAAACGCUCAUGUAGUCAUAGCAGCUUGGAAGAUCACACUCGGGGAAAACUAAGUCCUCGUGCCGAUGUUUCCAUUUUUUUUGUUUCUUCAUUUCUCUUUUUACUUCGUUUGGACAUGUCAUCAUAUACAAAUAAUAACACCAACGUAUUAUAUACUCUGUGUAUGUAUUUAAAGAAAAACAUUUAAUAUAUCAUAAUCAGGGGCGUCCCGAUCAUUUAUUGAUAUCAGAUAUCGCUCAAAUGCCAUCAAAAAACAGUAUUCGAUUAUGUGUGCUUGCAUGUGUGAUAUCAUCUGCGAAACACGCAGUCCUGCAGAGUGUUGUGUGUGAUAUCAUCUGCGAUACACGCAGUCCUGCACCGUGUUUAAAUGUGUGUGGUAUCGUGUGCGAUACAAACAGUCCUGCAGCGUGUUGAUGUGUGUGGGAUAUCAUGUGCAAUACAUGCAGUCCUGCAGCGUGUUUCUUAUGUGUGAUAACAUGUGCGAUACAAGAAUUAUUACAGCAUGUUUACUUGUGUGUGAUACCAUGUGCGAUACAAACAGUCCUGCAGCGUGUUGAUG